rnacentral:lncRNA from 1 species
ACAGAUGGUUUGCAACGAACACCUCAAUAAUGGAUUCUUUGCCACACUGCCGUGCUAAAGAAGAACGCCGUAUGAACAUUCGAAAGUUGCAAGAUUUCUCCGGAUAAAACAUGUAUUUCUUAGGGAAAGUUAUGCAUAUUUUUCCGUGAAAUUUUCAGAUAUUUUAGAUAGAAUUGCAGACGAAAUUACCUUAAAAAUUUGAAAAAAAAAAAUAUUUAAAUUUUUUCUAGGGACUUCGGUUUUUAUUAAAGGAAAUCUGACAACGUCUAAAGGCUCAUACGGCGUUUUUCCUCAGCACGGCAGCACUAUUUUAAUUUGUUUAAAAUGGAGAUACGUGGUUUCGAACUCAUUGAUAUGCACAGAGACAAGAGACCCUCCUUUAGUAUCUUGGCAAUGGGGGAAGCUUUUACUUUCGGGACUUCAGCAUUCUACUGUUGACUUACCUACACGGUUGAUGUUCAACAACGUGUUGGCAGUUUCGUUUUGCAAACAAGCCGAAAAUGGCCGAAGUUUGGGAAACUUGUUUGGCUCAUGACGUCACCCGAAGCUCAUCAUCGACCAUGUAGGUAGGUCAACAGUCGAAAUAGGAGUGAUGACUGUUGCUCCUUUAGAAUUGUCCAUAAGGAACUGUUGAAUCCGCGAAAGUAAAAGCUUCCACCUGUCACCAAGAGGCCAGUGGAGGGUCUCUUGUCUCUGGAUAUGCAACAGACCUUAUAGACCAUGAUCCUGAAACGCCUGCAAUCAUCGCGGCCAUCUCGAAAAUGGGGCCCGAAUUUCAGGAGCCCGGCGGCUCCCCUAAGCGGGCUCAACGAGAAACUUAGCCUAGCGCUAGGCCUGUGUCCGUUCGAUAGUGCUGGCCUAAACCUGGCGUGGGGCACGGUCGUGGCCGCUACCCUCGGCGUCGUGGCCUCUUUAUACGCCGUUAAUGUCGUCGAGCCUGUUCGCAUAGUCUACUGCGAGUCCGCCGCUGGCAACUGCACCUUCUUCUGGUCUCUUCUCAUCGACUUCCUCAUCUUCACCGUCGCCGUCGUCCUCUGCCCGGCGGUCAACUUCAUCCUCCGCUCGGAGCGAGAGACCGCCCUCAAAUUCAUUCAUAGAGUGGAUGCCGGGCUCAGCUUUACUCCAAGUCUUCAUAAAAUUGACAAAGUCAUUGCUUUUUUCUACGUUUACCUAAGUCUUCUCAUAUUUUCGGAAUUUGCAUUGAAUACCUCGGGUGAUCUGGAAGGCAUCACCACCUACAUCGUGGAGAACGGACUUAUUUUCCUGUCGGAUGUCUACUUCCUGGUUCUUGAAAUAGAGUUCUUUGGGAUUGCAUGGAGUUUCCAAAAGAGAUUCAAAGCAAUCAAUAAAACUGUGUCCCUUCUGAUAUUUCCGAAAUGGAAUAAAACUCCGACCGUUUUUAGCAAUGCAGCUCAAGAGACUGCAACCAGUCGAUUUGAUCGGUUAAUCGACCUGCAUUGGUACCUGAGCCAAGGCGUGUCCUCGAUCAACAAGGUUUACGGAUUCAAGCUGGGUAUGCUCCUGUUCUACUUGUUCUAUCGUUUGCUCAUCAUUCCUCACGUCAUGUCGAUUCUCAUCACCACGACUGAGGAUGGACUUUCGAUGAAAGUUUGGUGGUUCAUGUACCAUGCUUGCCAGCUCGCCUUGCUGGUGUUACCCGCUGCGGACAGUGCUAAAAACGGAGAAACGUUGUUAAAAACGAUAUGUCGGGGCCUUGGCACAAGCACGCAUGUCGCACAAGACCAAGUAAGUGCGCAGCUGGAACUGGUAACUAGUCGCUAUUCCUUAUUUGUGUGAACUCACCUUCGCCAUUCACCUGAGCCACGAUCUAUUCUCAGCUGCCUUUAUAAUAGGAUAAUCUCUCCGAUUCGAAAUUUUAAUAAUUUCACUAUUUAUAUACUUGGUUAUGGUGUACUCCAAGCACGAUUGAUUCCCUUUCAUUCAUAUAGUUUUAAUCGAGUUUAGCAAGCAGGAAAAAAAUUUACGGCGAUCAAAACAUUACACGUUUCGAGCUAGGGGACACAUUAACACUAUAAGAAGAAUUUCA